rnacentral:rRNA from 1 species
UACGGAGGGUGCGAGCGUUGUCCGGAAUCACUGGGCGUAAAGGGCGCGUAGGCGGCCCGCGCAAGCGUGCGGUGAAAGCCCGGGGCUCAACCCCGGGUCGGCCGUGCGGACUGCGGGGCUCGAGCACUGUAGGGGCAGAUGGAAUUCCGGGUGUAGUGGUGGAAUGCGUAGAUAUCGGGAGGAACACCAGUGGCGAAGGCGGUUGCCUGGAGCUUUGCUGACGCUGAGGCGCGAAAGCGUGGGGAGCGAUCCGG